UACCAAGGCGAUGAUACGUAGCCGACCUGAGAGGGUAAUCGGCCACAUUGGGACUGAGACACGGCCCAAACUCCUACGGGAGGCAGCAGUAGGGAAUCUUCCACAAUGGACGAAAGUCUGAUGGAGCAACGCCGCGUGAGUGAUGAAGGGUUUCGGCUCGUAAAACUCUGUUGUUGGAGAAGAACAGGUGUCAGAGUAACUGUUGACAUCUUGACGGUAUCCAACCAGAAAGCCACGGCUAACUACGUGCCAGCAGCCGCGGUAAUACGUAGGUGGCAAGCGUUGUCCGGAUUUAUUGGGCGUAAAGCGAGCGCAGGCGGUUUUUUAGGUCUGAUGUGAAAGCCUUCGGCUUAACCGGAGAAGUGCAUCGGAAACCGGGAGACUUGAGUGCAGAAGAGGACAGUGGAACUCCAUGUGUAGCGGUGAAAUGCGUAGAUAUAUGGAAGAACACCAGUGGCGAAGGCGGCUGUCUGGUCUGUAACUGACGCUGAGGCUCGAAAGCAUGGGUAGCGAACAGGAUUAGAUACCCUGGUAGUCCAUGCCGUAAACGAUGAGUGCUAAGUGUUGGAGGGUUUCCGCCCUUCAGUGCUGCAGCUAACGCAUUAAGCACUCCGCCUGGGGAGUACGACCGCAAGGUUGAAACUCAAAGGAAUUGACGGGGGCCCGCACAAGCGGUGGAGCAUGUGGUUUAAUUCGAUGCUACGCGAAGAACCUUACCAGGUCUUGACAUCUUCUGCCAAC
rnacentral:rRNA from 1 species